UCUCCAAUAGCUCAGUGGUAGAGCGGGUGGCUGUUAACCAUCAGAUCGUUGGUUCGAGUCCAACUUGGAGAG
rnacentral:tRNA from 1 species